CCUAAAUAAAACAUAAAGCGGGUGCACUCCAAAAGCAAGGAUGCCGUUAACUAGCCAGUUGGUUAGCCGGAGAUGGUUAAUUACAUAUUGAUAAAUGAUGAUGCUUGUACUUCGGAUUGGGUUUCUUCGUUGUGCCUCGUACUGUAAGCAGCAGCAAGGGUGGCUGUCCAACGCAAAACCUCUAAGGAUAACAGCCUACACAUUGCGAGCACGGAGCUUUAUAGACACUCUGAUCAUCAGCGAGGGAGACAUUAUCAUCGGCAACGGAGGCACGAUUAGGCGAUGGCCACCAUGUAAUUCAAAAAAGGUCUGUUAUGUGUGAAAUCUGUGCCAUACUCAGGAGUUA